rnacentral:lncRNA from 1 species
GUAAUUUGACAUACUUAAAGGAAGCAAGAUCUUUUUAUAAGUGGGGCGAGUUGUCAAACUUUAUUCAGUGGGGUUUAAACCUUUUUCGUUAUAACAUGAAUAAGUGAGUUUUCAGACUGAUUGUUCAAUUUCAUUUUAAAACUUUUUCAAAAGUAGGGCGAGUAGGUAAACAAGAGAGUGGCGAUGUUUUUAUAAAGUGGCGAUAAAGUGUGGGCCGAUUGGCAAGUGGGGCGAGUUGACAUUUUUUGAUAUCUACUCAUCGUGUUUGAGGGUCAUUAAGG